GAUUAAUACUGCACUAAAGUUGCACUGGGGGUUCUUUCGUACAAUACAGGAGAACUGAAGCACUGCACUAAACUACAUUUACAGGCUGCCUUAUUCAAGAAAUGCCAACACAUCUUUUAUUUAAAGAAUUAAUUAAGGCAUAUACUGGAAACCUGCUCAGCUGUAGUGAAACCGCUGCAUAGCAAUGCAAGAAAGUUGCACAGGAUAUGAAAGGGAAGGACAGAAGACCAGAAUCAUUCAACCUUAAGGUACAUCUAGGUCCAUAU